CAGAAUAAGACAAUGGGUAUGGACAGCAACUGUUGCUUGGUGGGGCAAGUGGGAGCAGUCCUCUCAUGCAGCAGAUGAAAGCUUGAGUGGGAUUGACCAAUGGGUCUGAAUAGGUGUAAGGCAGCUUCUGGUGCCUUUAGCACAGCAACAUCAUUGCAGCGUCUUGGACAAACACUGGGUGGGAUAUCUGCAUGCACCAAACAGCCACUGCCAUCAUUAACUCUGAGUAUAUCUUCCCCUUCCAGUUCCUUUCACGUGUGGUGUUCAAAGAAAUACGAGGGUGGUGCGGCUCCUGCGGAAGAAAACGAGGGUCAGACAUCACUCUUGAGUAGGCAUGUUCUGGGGCCAUAAGUCAUGGUAAGUCUACUUCUCAAGCCCCUGGUGUUACUUAGUAGGUCAUCUCCUGCUUUCUGCUCUCGUUGGGACCUCAUGGUCAAAGGUUUCAUCACUCCUUCCUUGGCCUUCUGCCACCUCUGUUGGAAUAAGCGAGGCUGUUGUACUCUGGUGGUGGAACUGGUGUUCAUGGGAACUUAGAAGGAGCCAAGAGAGCCCUAAGCAAUCCACUGAGUUUCCACGGGUUUUCACACUUCUUUCUUGUGAGUCUGCAUUUCUGUGGUCACCUCUGAAGAUCCUCUAUUCCCAACUUCUUGACUGAUUUUUCUUCUGCUUCCUCUUGAAUUCUAAACCUGAAACGAAGGAAUGGGCUUAGAGCAAGGGUGCAGUUGGGGACAUCAGGAAUGGGCAACCUGGUGGGGCAACACUCCUUCUUUGACCUCCAGUCGGUUGCAGCACUUAUGUUUACCAGCAGCAAAGUCAUUGCAGUGCAAAUGCGCCACUGAAGAUUAUCUGCUGAUGCAUUUGCACCUAGCUGCCCUUCUCGCCCCUCCAGCAGCAAUACGACUGUGAGCAGCCAUCUGCUGCUGGGUGACAUCCAGCUUUGGUCAGAAAGAACGGAAAUAGGUUCAUAUUGCAAUAUGAACUUGGUGGAUGGGCAUUUAAAUCCAGUUUUCAUCCAGAGGGUGCUUCCAGAAUGCAAAUUCAGAUCUCGCACACAGGACACUGGCAACAGGUGUUUCUUAUUUUUUUAUCUAAAAAAACUUAGCAUGGAAAAUGUAAAUCCUGAUUAAAUACAGACUGGCACAUGGGAAAUACAGACUGGUAUAUGGCAUCAAAUGGCAUAAAUGCACAAUAGAUGCCUGUCCUUAAGGGUAACUUUCUGUCUAGGUCAGUGGCUUCCAAUUAGGGGUCCAGGAACCUCUGGGCAUCCAUGGAACGCACCCAGGGGGGUCUGCAGUCCCAUCCCUUGCCUCCCCCCAACUAAAUUUUUGUCAAUUUUUUUGCAGGCUAAUAUCACAAAUUUUAUGGUCUGUUUUUAGUAUACCUAAAAUCCUUUGCUUAUUAGGGGCUACCCACAUUUUGUUCGAAAAAAGUACUUUGUAGAGGUAACUGCUGCAGAGUAAUCAAAAUUGUCAAAAGUAGGGGGUCUGUGGUUUGGCUUUUGAAAAAUAGGGGGUCCUCAGUAAUUAGCUAAUUGGGAACCACUGGUCUAGGUCAUAUUAUUAUUAUUAUUAUUAUUAUUAUUAUUAUUAUUGCUACUACUAUUAUUAUGAGCUGCAACAAAUUGUUGCAGUGUGCGGAGCACCUGUUCUUCUGCCAGCCAUGCCCUUUCCCAUUUCACCACUAGCCUCCAGAUCUGUAUUAGACAUACGCACACCAGGUAUUUAGCAUCCUGUAUCCAAUGAGGAUGCUCAAUUCCUAUUGGGCCAUUUUUUCGGUGCCCCACCCUACCCCUGCUUCAAGUGGGGUUGGUUACAUUUUUUUUUUACUACUUGAAAUGCUGCAGUCCAUCCCCCCCCCCAAUUUUUAUGCAUUCUGUGACAUUUGGGCUAUGUAAGGAUCACAACUUGCAGAAGCUUGAUGUAUGUGAUCUAUAAUGAUCAUUUUAUAAAUUAUUUAUCUAAAAGCAUUUCUCAUCCACCCAAAGGCACCAGGGUGGAAAUAUAUGCAGCCUACAACCAAAACGAAACAAUAAGAUUAAAACAAAAUACAGUGGUACCUCGGAAGUCCGUUUGACUUCCAAAGCGUUCGGAAACCAAGGCGCAGCUUCCGAUUGGCUGCAGGAAGCUCCUGCAGCCUAUCGGAAGCCACGUCAGAUGUUUGGGUUUCAAAGAACGUUCGCAAACCAGAACACUCACUUCCAGGUUUGCGGCGUUUGGGAGCCAAAACGUUCAACUCACAAGGCAUUCAACUCACCCAGGGACUUUGCCCAAGCCAGAGAGGAUGCAACAGGAACUGCUUUAGCUUGGAAGCCUUCUGAAAAAUCUGUCUCUAUCGCUCUUCCUUUAAAUCUGCUGGCCCUUGAAAAGGUAUCCCCCCCCCACCUGCAUUGGGGUGUC
rnacentral:lncRNA from 1 species